AUGGACCUUCACAAGGAAGUCAGUGCUGCUAAAUUAACUGAUGAUCUAGUGGUUGAUAUCCUCUCCCGGUUGAAUUACAAGUCUUUUUGCCGCUGCAAGUGUGCCUAUAAGGCAUGGUCUGCUUACUCCUCUGAUCCAGACUACCGCCAGAAGCUGCCCAAACCCACUGGCCUUUUGUACCAAGGCCACAAUAAGUCUGCUAUCUCGCUUGUUAGCCUGUCCCAAGACGAUGGAGAAGUCGGUGGAAUUCUUGCUUACGUGCCACAUUAUGAGCAUUUAGAAUUUCUUGACUGCUACAAUGGUCUUAUCCUUUGUAAUAUUCCGUGGAAGAAGAAAAACAGGGCCCUGACCGAGCCCACUCGCCCUAGAGCCUUCGCGCACACACCUCCGGCCUCUCUCGCGCGCGCGUCCCCGGCGCUGGUCCCUUCGCCGGCGGCGGCCUAUCUCCUUCGCCACGACGGAAGAAGCUUCUACAUAGUGAGUCCCCCGUCCUCUCCUCGGCCCUCGUUAUCCUUCUACUCUCCUACUCAUGGUUGUGCUCAACUGGCCUUGCCAUUUCUCUUCUUCAGAUCUGAGCUUAAUUCCUCCUUCUCGACUAGGUCUGAUUUGCGCCUGUCCCAAGACGAUGGAGAAGUCGGUGGAAUUCUUGCUUACGUGCCACAUUAUGAGCAUUUGGAAUUUCUUGACUGCUGCAAUGGUCUUAUCCUUUGUAAGUACAGGAGCAGCUAUACUUCUCCAGGCAUUUGCCGCUUUGUUGUGUGCAACCCAGCAACACGAGAGUGGAGAAUACUUCCUGAUACACAUCCUGGGACAGAGGACCCUCGCUGUGUAACUAUUUUGGCGUUUGAUCCAUCAUGGUCACCACAGUUCUACAUCUUCAAUUUCCAUCUGGAACAUAGCUUCCAGCCCAAGAACCUUCGGUUGACUGAAUGUCAACUUCUGUUCAAUGUGCAUCUGUGGCUGUUCUGCUGCGAUUUGCUGAACCACCUUGUAUAUUACGCUGAGCUUGUUUUCCUUUCUGACCAGAAGAUAAAUAAGCUUCUUUCUUACAACAUCAGCACCGGGAAAUUCAACGAGAUUCUGAACAUUCAAACAGGAGAGAAUGGUGACCACCUCAUCAGUCAACACAACAGUGGUGCUUACAGUUUCCUGGACUUCUCUGGCCACCAUGCUCAGCUUGUUACUGUGGCUAUCGUCUCCCUGUUGUUUUUUUUUUGUUUGUUUUUGCUGGCUUCUAGUUGCUGCUCCAAAGAAGCGAAACAGCUAAUUAAACAGCAUCUCCUAAUCCACCCCAAUUCUUUAAAAAGUCAGUUUCGAAGCAGAUUGAAGACCCUACCCUCCCUCGCCGCCCCCCGCGAGGCGGCCGGGGAGGGCUCCCAGAUCCGCCCGCCGCCGGCCUCCCCUCCUCCUCCCUCUCCCCUCGCCGCCGCCAGGGGGCGUGGCCAGGCAAAGCCUGACCGGCGGUGGCGGGGCUUGUUCCUCCUCCGCUGCGAUGGGGCGGCGUGGGCGUCUUCAUCGGGUGUGGGCUCGGGGCGCCGUGGCGUGGCGGCGCGCGGCCUCCUGGCGGGCGUGGCACUACAUGGCCGGCUGCGCGGUGGUGCGCGCCUCGCCACGGCGGACGGAUCCGUCCGGCAGGCGGCGUGGGCGGCGGCUGGGGUCCGGCUUUGGGCUCCUGGCGGCUGCGUUGGUUCCUCUCCGUCGCGGGCAUGCGGCGGUGGUGUGGCUCGGCCGGUGGCGGUCCGGCGACCUGGUGGUGGUGGCCAGCGGUGUGUGUGGUGGUGGUGCUUCCACUUGGCGGCUAUCUGUGCGGGGAGGCAGGGGAGUGGCUUGGACAGGGGCGGCGGCGCCGGCGGCGUGCCGACUGCAGCGCGAAGGCGGGAACUUUACGGGCCUCGGAGAUCCCGGCCGGGCCUGUGCGGCCACGAGCCUGGUAUGUCCCUGCUAUUGCGUCCGGUCAGCUACCGUCUUCGAUGGUGGAGGUGGGGCCCUCCCGCGUGCCGACGGUGCUGCUGCCUUAGUCCCGGCUCCUCUUCUUCAUUGUGCAGACCAUGCUCCACGGUGCCGUGGUUGGGAUGGGGAGAAAUCCCUGUUGGCUUGGACGACACCGACACGGUGGCGCUUGAGGGUGCCGCCGGAUCUUCCUGGAGGGCGUCGGGGCUACCCUUCCUCUCUCCUCACCGCGUACCGGGGGAAACCCUUGGCAGCAGCGUCGUCAUCAUCGCGUCCCUUCUUGGAGGUGUUGAUUGGUACCGGUACUUUGGAGGCUCGGAGCUUGGUGGGCGAUCUCCGGUGGAUGCAGCGGCCAGAAGGCUUCUUUGCUUUUUGUCGAUCCGCCGAAAGUGGCAGUUUUGGAGAGAUUACAUAUUCUUAGGUGGCUGCUAG
rnacentral:rRNA from 1 species